rnacentral:rRNA from 1 species
CAAUAGCGUAUAUUUAAGUUGUUGCAGUUAAGAAGCUCGUAGUUGGAUUUCGGGUUGGCUUCAGCGGUCUCGCUUUGCGUUUGUACUGCUGCAGCCUACCUUCUUGUCGGGGACGGGCCUUCGGGCUUAAUUGCUUGGGGCCCGGAGUCGACGAUGUUACUUUGAGUAAAUUAGAGUGUUCAAAGCAAGCCUACGCUCUGAAUAUAAUAGCAUGGGAUAACACGACAGGACUCUGGCCUAUCGUGUUGGUCUGUAGGACCAGAGUAAUGAUUAAGAGGGACAGUCGGGGGCAUUCGUAUUCCGUUGUCAGAGGUGAAAUUCUUGGAUUUACGGAAGACGAACAUCUGCGAAAGCAUUUGCCAAGGAUGUUUUCAUUGA